rnacentral:lncRNA from 1 species
AUGCCCUUCUGCAGGACGCUGGGUAGAGGUGGCUCCAGUGGGCCGGAGCCGCCCGCGCAGAGCCCAAGAGCUUCAUUCCCUGAAGCAGACAGGAGAAGGUCUUUUUCUUUUUGUUGUGACGGUUGACUAGUUUAACAGCCCU